GCAUCUUCCUCGCCAUGAUUGUAAAAUAAAUCGAACUUUGAGUAAACUAGUCUGCUUCUUUGGAGACGGAUCAGGUGAAGAGAAGAGGGGAGAUUUAGGGUUUACGUGAAGAAAAGAAAGAUAUAUUAAUGGUUUGCACUUUGUAGUUUAUACACCAUCAACAUGGCGAUCGGAGACCAGUGGUCAGAGUACAGCGGGAGAUUACAAGUUAGCUGUCAAGAAAGAGGGCAGAUAUGUAAAGAAGUGGAAGGUUAAAAUUUUAAUCUAUAUUUAAUAUGUAAUGCACG
rnacentral:misc_RNA from 1 species